rnacentral:rRNA from 1 species
UACAGAGGUCCCAAGCGUUGUUCGGAUUCAUUGGGCGUAAAGGGUGCGUAGGCGGCGCGCUAAGUCGGGUGUGAAAUUUCGGAGCUUAACUCCGAAACUGCAUUCGAUACUGGCGUGCUUGAGGACUGGAGAGGAGACUGGAAUUCAUGGUGUAGCAGUGAAAUGCGUAGAGAUCAUGAGGAAGACCAGUGGCGAAGGCGGGUCUCUGGACAGUUCCUGACACUGAGGCACGAAGGCCAGGGGAGCAAACGGG